rnacentral:rRNA from 1 species
GAUGAACGCUGGCGGCGUGCCUAAUACAUGCAAGUCGAGCGAACAGACGAGGAGCUUGCUCCUCUGACGUUAGCGGCGGACGGGUGAGUAACACGUGGAUAACCUACCUAUAAGACUGGGAUAACUUCGGGAAACCGGAGCUAAUACCGGAUAAUAUAUUGAACCGCAUGGUUCAAUAGUGAAAGACGGUUUUGCUGUCACUUAUAGAUGGAUCCGCGUCGCAUUAGCUAGUUGGUAAGGUAACGGCUUACCAAGGCAACGAUGCGUAGCCGACCUGAGAGGGUGAUCGGCCACACUGGAACUGAGACACGGUCCAGACUCCUACGGGAGGCAGCAGUAGGGAAUAUUCGACAAUGGGCGAAAGCCUGACGGAGCAACGCCGCGUGAGUGAUGAAGGUCUUCGGAUAGUAAAACUCUGUUAUUAGGGAAGAACAAAAGUAUAAGAAACUAUGCACGCCUUGACGGUACCGAAUCAGUAAGCCACGGCUAACUACGUG